rnacentral:rRNA from 1 species
AACGAACGCUGGCGGCAUGCCUAACACAUGCAAGUCGAACGAGACCUUCGGGUCUAGUGGCGCACGGGUGCGUAACGCGUGGGAACCUGCCCUUAGGUUCGGAAUAACUCCCCGAAAGGGGUGCUAAUACCGGAUAAUGUCUUCGGACCAAAGAUUUAUCGCCUUUGGAUGGGCCCGCGUUGGAUUAGCUAGUUGGUAGGGUAAAAGCCUACCAAGGCGACGAUCCAUAGCUGGUCUGAGAGGAUGAUCAGCCACACUGGGACUGAGACACGGCCCAGACUCCUACGGGAGGCAGCAGUGGGGAAUAUUGGACAAUGGACGAAAGCGUAAUCCAGCAAUGCCGCGUGAGUGAUGAAGGCCUUAGGGUUGUAAAGCUCUUUUACCCGGGAUGAUAAUGACAGUACCGGGAGAAUAAGCGCCGGCUAACUCCGUG